AUGGGUAUCAUCGGCAUCCUCCGCACUGCCAUCCUGCUCCUCGUCGGCCUCGCGUGGUGUGGUGUGCUCGUCGCCGCCGGCGGCGGGGUGGACGGCGUGUUCAACGUCGAGGACUACGGUGCUCUAGGUGACGGGACCACGGACGACACCAAGGCGUUCGUGGAUGCAUGGGUGGCGGCGUGCGGCGCCACUGGCUCGUCAGCGACGCUGCUCGUGCCGGCGGAAAAGUCAUUCCUCGUCGGCCUCACCAGGUUUAGUGGGCCAUGCGCCUCCAGCAGAAUCACCGUCCAGGUCUUGGGCACGAUCACGGCGCCGCCGGCGAGCGCAUGGAGCGAGAAGAAGAACUAUUGGCUGCUGUUCUACCAGGUCGACGGGCUCACGGUAACCGGCAACAGCACCGGCUUGCUCGACGGCAGCGGCGUGACGUGGUGGAGCGAUAAAUGCAAACACAGUGAUGAUGAUUGUGUAACUAAGGCACCGACGGCCUUGUUGGUCAUGAACUGCACCGGCGUGGAGCUGAGCCAAUUCAGCAGCAAGGACAGCCCGCAGAUGCACAUCGGCCUCAGCAUGAGCGGCAAGGUCAACGUGACGCAGCUCACCAUCACCGCGCCGGAGGACAGCCCCAACACCGACGGCAUCCACGUCGACCGGAGCGAAGACGUCCACAUCACCGGUUCCACCAUCGGCACGGGCGACGACUGCAUCUCCAUCGGCCCUGGUAGCCGCUUCGUCACCGUCGACGGAAUCGUCUGCGGCCCCGGCCAUGGUGUAAGUGUGGGGAGCCUGGGCAGGGAUGGAGCAAACGAAUCCGUGGAGUACAUUGACGUGAGAAACGUCCAGUUCAUCAACACGACGAAUGGAGCAAGGAUCAAGACGUGGAGGGGUGGGAGAGGUUACGCGAAAUCCAUCUCCUUCACCAACAUAAACUUCACCAACGUGGACCAUCCUGUGAUCAUCAACCAGUUCUACGAAGAUCGCCAAGACGUCUCAAAUACGGGGGCGGUGGCGCUGAGCAACAUAACCUACACGAACCUCAACGGGACGUCGACGCGAAAGACGGCCGUCGACUUCGAUUGCAGCAAUAACGGCAGCUGCAUGGACAUCCACGUCAACAGCGUGGCGAUCACGGCGGCGGACGGCGGAGCAACCGUGGCCCGCUGCCAGAACGCGGACGUGGACACCUCCGGGUUCGUCUACCCGAAGAUCCCUUGCGUAGCUAACGCUGCAUCGCCCAGCCCAGGGCUUAGCACCUAG
rnacentral:rRNA from 1 species